GAGGUGGAGGAGGAGGCGGCGGUGGUCGAGGAGUCUACCACCUUGCGCGCCACCGUUUUCUGCUCCACGGACCUUCUCACACCAGCCGCCGCCGCCGCUGCCGCAGCGUAUCCCCUCCUGGAUGAAUCGAACGGAGCAGGAAUUACGAGGGGAGAAGAAGUAGAUGCUUAAAGAGACAAGCUCCUCAAACAAAGCCAGUCAAACUUAAUUACAUGAGUAAGUCAAUUUGGCAUCUCAAGUAUAGAACACUUUGGGCUUCUCUUCUGGAGUUGGAGUAGGUCGUUUAAUCGAGCUCGUUUCUUUGCUGAUGCCAUUUGCAUUCCCAGACAAUAUCUUCAUUAAAUCAUUCUAAAGGAAAAAAGAAGAAACAAUUAGUAGCAUAGAACCAAUAAAGCUUCGUAUCGCAGAAACCACUCCUACGAAGUCUUAGUGCUUGCCAUUUGUUCAUUUUCGUGUGUAUAUAUACAACGCCAACUUUAAAAGCUUCUGUCUAUUGAUUUUCCUCAAAAUAGAUCUAGAGAUAAUGAGAGAUUAGAUAAAAAGAAAAAGGGUGUAAUAAGGAGAGUUAUGUUUGAGUUUAGGAUAAUUUAAGAAAAUUUAUAAUUUAAUCUCACAUGAUGAAAAUUUUAAUUAUCUCUAUAAAAAAAAUAAAAAGGGUCCAACUACUUAAAUCUUUUAUCCAUCUUUAUAAUUUUUGUUUGAUUUUUGAUCUAUGAAUUUUUGUUUGAUUGAUGGUCUAUGAAUUUUCUUAGUGUAACAGAUUUUACAGACACCAAAAAUUAAAAUUGCUCAAGUUCUCUCCACAUCUUAAAAUUACACCUACGCCUAUUUAAGUUUUACGACUUGUUCAAGUCAAAUAUCUUUGAUGAUGCCAGUUUGAACACUAGUCAUUAUUUUUUCUUAGAGUAUGAUGUGAUUUGUAUGAAUAUUAAUUAUUCUUCAACUAUGACAGAUGAACAUUUUUCAACAUAUUUAUUACUAUAGCAUCCAUUUCGAUUAUUAAGAUAGUAAAUAAUAUAACGCAUAGUUAAACAUGUUAGGAUAAACUAGCAGGGGUGAAUUAGUGUUUUUGUAGAAGUUACGAAUUAGAAAAUCCUCGUUCGAUAAACUCCUAUCAGAAAGAUACUUAAUUUAAAAUCAGUAAGUAAUAAAGGUAAAUAUCAAAAGAAAAGAGUAUACCAAAUUUAUCGUGGUUCGAUCAUCGGCGUCGAUGUCCACUAAUGAUCUUUCUUUAAUGGGUGAAGACCAAUUACCCUUUUACAACUCUUUUCUCCUUUUGGCAAGUUUAGAAAAGAACUUUUACACCCCCUUUUUAUAAAGUUUUCCUCACACUCUCUCUUAGAAUAGUUUUUAAACUUUAGGAGGAGAGACUCAACACUUUACAAGGGUUUACAAAUUUAGAAUCACAGAGUUUUGUUCUACUUUCUUGCUCUCUUAAACAAAAAAUAUUAGGGUAUUUAUAGACCUCAAAUUACUUUAAAAAUUAGGGCCAAAAUUCAAAUCCUCGAGAUUUCGGGGUACUAGCGAUACCAUCGCUUAAGUUGGGCGGUACUACCGCCUGCAGUAUUGACACUAAGUAGUACCACCGCCUAACACUGGGCGAUACCACCACCCAAUCUAGUAGUAUCAUCGUCUAACACAAUCUCGGAGAUUGUGUCUUGGAGACUAAGCCGUUGGCGAUUCCACCACCUAGACCAGUGGUGCCACUACUUGACCCAACUUUUGGGUCACUAAAUAGGUCUUUCUCUUAGCUCAAAAUAGCUCCAUCUUAGGCCUAAUUGAGUUGACCUAAUUAUAUUCAAACCAACUCAAUUAGAACUCUAAACUAAUUCGAUCUAAAUAAAUUAUUACAAAGUAUGAAUCAUAUAUUGUCUGGCAUGUUAUUGGUUCUUUCGACGCUUUGUUUGAUCCUUCGGCGCAUCGUCCUCUCCUUCAACAUAAUGCCCAAUUGGCAUGUUAACUUCCUACAAUAUCCGAUCUCCUUGGUGCAAAGUUUGAUUCUUCCAGCUCGAUGCCCGAACUCACGGCACGAAGUCCUUCUAUCGGUACAUCGAUCAAUCUUCUAACAUGUUCAACUCUAGCCUUACGUCUGAUUCCUCCUAUUUCAAUCAAUUUGCCUCUCCUUGAUUGAAGCUAAUCCUGUGUUAAUCACAAACUCAUCAAUUGAUUUCAUCAUCAAAA